rnacentral:rRNA from 1 species
AGUGAACGCUGGCGGUAGGCCUAACACAUGCAAGUCGAACGGCAGAACGGUACUUGCUUGCGCUUACGGGUGGGGAGGGGCGGGUGAGUGAUAGGUACAUCGGAGUCUGCGUGUUAGAGGGGGAGAACGUGGGGGCACUUACGCUAAUAGCGCAUACGACGUAAGUGUGAAAUCUGCGGAUCUUAGGCCAUUGGACGAUUGAAUGAGGCGAUGUCGGAUUAGCUAGUUGGCGGGGUAAAGGCCCACCAAGGCGACGAUCCGUAGCUGGUCUGAGAGGAUGAUCAGCCACACUGGAACUGAGACACGGUCCAGACUCCUACGGGAGGCAGCAGUGGGGAAUAUUGGACAAUGGGCGAAAGCCUGAUCCAGCCAUGCCGCGUGUGUGAAGAAGGCCUUCGGGUUGUAAAGCACUUUUGGUGGGGAAGAAAAGCAGCAGGUUAAUACCUCGCUGUUUUGACGGUACCAAAAGAAUAAGCACCGGCUAACUUCGUG